GUAAUCCUCUGGCGGACGUUCAGUGCUCAGUCGGGAUCUGGUAGUCAUGGUAUCCACGGCGGUGUUAGUACUCGUGCUACUACAUCUACACGCCAGCGACACUCUAAGGGAAGACCAUGAAGACACGCAGACGAUACCUAUUCUCAAGAUGUCACCGGUUCAUCAGACUGAUA